UGGGGAAUAUUGGACAAUGGGCGAAAGCCUGAUCCAGCCAUGCCGCGUGUGUGAAGAAGGUCUUCGGAUUGUAAAGCACUUUAAGUUGGGAGGAAGGGCAGUAAGCGAAUACCUUGCUGUUUUGACGUUACCGACAGAAUAAGCACCGGCUAACUCUGUGCCAGCAGCCGCGGUAAUACAGAGGGUGCAAGCGUUAAUCGAAAUUACUGGGCGUAAAGCGCGCGUAGGUGGUUCGUUAAGUUGAAUGUGAAAGCCCCGGGCUCAACCUGGGAACUGCAUCCAAAACUGGCGAGCUAGAGUAGGGCAGAGGGUGGUGGAAUUUCCUGUGUAGCGGUGAAAUGCGUAGAUAUAGGAAGGAACACCAGUGGCGAAGGCGACCACCUGGGCUCAUACUGACACUGAGGUGCGAAAGCGUGGGGAGCAAACAGG
rnacentral:rRNA from 1 species